rnacentral:misc_RNA from 1 species
GAUGAAGAACGUAGCUAAAUGCGAUACGUAAUGUGAAUUGCAGAAUUCAGUGAAUCAUCGAGUCUUUGAACGCACAUUGCGCCCCCUGGUAUUCCGGGGGGCAUGCCUGUCCGAGCGUCAUUGCUGCCCUCAAGCACGGCUUGUGUGUUGGGCCUCCGUCCUCCUCCCGGGGGACGGGCCCGAAAGGCAGCGGCGGCACCGCGUCCGGUCCUCGAGCGUAUGGGGCUUCGUCACCCGCUCUUGUAGGCCCGGCCGGCGCUUGCCGACACAUCAAUCUUUUUUCCAGGUUGACCUCGGAUCAGGUAGGGAUACCCGCUGAACUUAAGCAUAUCAAUAAGCGGAGGA